rnacentral:rRNA from 1 species
GACGAACGCUGGCGGCGUGCUUAACACAUGCAAGUCGAACGGUAAGGCCCUUCGGGGUACACGAGUGGCGAACGGGUGAGUAACACGUGGGUGAUCUGCCCUGCACUUCGGGAUAAGCCUGGGAAACUGGGUCUAAUACCGGAUAGGACCACUGCCUGCAUGGGUGGUGGUGGAAAGCUUUUGCGGUGUGGGAUGGGCCCGCGGCCUAUCAGCUUGUUGGUGGGGUGAUGGCCUACCAAGGCGACGACGGGUAGCCGGCCUGAGAGGGUGACCGGCCACACUGGGACUGAGAUACGGCCCAGACUCCUACGGGAGGCAGCAGUGGGGAAUAUUGCACAAUGGGCGCAAGCCUGAUGCAGCGACGCCGCGUGUGGAUGACGGCCUUCGGGUUGUAAACCUCUUUCAGCAUCGACGAAGCGAAAGUGACGGUAGGUGCAGAAGAAGGACCGGCCAACUACGUGCCAGCCGCCGCUGUAA